rnacentral:lncRNA from 1 species
GGAAGCUCCUGGGAAUUCUGGGAUUUUUGUACCUGUGGAUUACAGUGGAGGCUCAGAUAAAGAUCCCACCAGAGACGGUGCAGCAAUGGGCAUCUGAGUUCUCCGUCCAGCUCCGUGAUCUGACCGUCAAAUAUUCAGGUUCUCUGCUGCUGCAGAAGAAACUGAAGGACGUGGAGUCUAUCAUAAAAAUCACAGAACUGAAUGGAGAAGACCUGGUAAAGGAUUUUUCCAAUGAGAUCGAGCGAAUGUUGGGCAGUAAGAUGAAGUCAGUGAAGGUGAGCGGGCACACGCAUCAUAUCAGCUGUGGC